rnacentral:rRNA from 1 species
CCGGGCGACCUACCCAUGAGCAGGAUGAAGCGAAAGUAAAAUUUCGUGGAGGUCCGAACCCACGAGCGUUGAAAAGCUCGGGGAUGACUUGUGGGUAGCGGGGAAAUUCCAAUCGAGCCCGGAGAUAGCUGGUUCUCCCCGAAAUAGCUUUAGGGCUAGCCUCAAGGUGAGAGAUACGGAGGUAGAGCACUGAAUGUCCUAGGGGGUAUUGCACCUACCGAAGACUAUCAAACUCCG